rnacentral:rRNA from 1 species
GACCAAGCGACUAAGGGCGCACGGUGGAUGCCUUGGUAGGAGCAGGCGAUGAAGGGCGUAGCAAGCUGCGAUAAGCUUCGGGGAGCCGCUAGCAGGCGUUAAUCCGGAGAUUCCCGAAUGGGGAAACCCAUCUCGAGUCAUGUCGAGAUAUCCAACGCUGAAUUAAUAGGUGUUGGAGGCGAACCUGGUGAACUGAAACAUCUUAGUAGCCAGAGGAAGAGAAAGUAAAAACGAUUCCCUGAGUAGCGGUGAGCGAAAGGGGAGUAGCCUAAACCGAUUCAUACGUGGAUCGGGGUUGUGGGGCGCAAGCCAUGGUACCUCGAGCGGUAGGCGAAGCGACUGGAAAGUCGCGCCAUAGAGAGUGAUAGUCUCGUAGCCGAAAUCGUAAGAGGGCCUAUUGCGUACCCGAGUAGCGCGGGGCACGUGGAAUCCUGCGUGAAUCUGGGAGGACCAUCUCCUAAGGCUAAAUACUCGCUCCUGACCGAUAGUGAACCAGUACCGUGAGGGAAAGGUGAAAA